rnacentral:tRNA from 1 species
AUUUAUGAAGUUUUACAACAUUUUAUUUUCAAUAAAAAAACAGAAAUAACUUAUUUCUCAUAAAUA